GGAAAAUCCCUGGAGACCAAAGUUUUCCAUUUUAUUUCAGAACAGUUCUAGCCCAGACAUCUGUUCCAAGUCCCCCUCCCUGUUCACAUCCACAUACCACAACUCUGACCCAGAGAGCAACUCCAGGAGGAAGCUGGUAAUUCAGUCUCCGGUCUCUUAAAUCUGUGAUUCU
rnacentral:sRNA from 1 species